AACACUCUCUCUUUGUAAAAACCUUCCUUUUACUUUUAAUAAAAUAACUAUCUUCCGCACUUUUUAUACUUUGUAAUUGGUAUCAGAGGCCCCUGGAGUAACGAUUCUUGGAGGAAUUCAUAUCAUAAUAUCCAUUGUAAGUUUUUAUCUUUAAUUUACAAUCCAGUUAAUUCUGUGGCUACUUGUCUUAAAACCCAUAUAUCUGUUAUUUUGUUUUACUUUUUCCUUUUUUAAGUCUAAGUGAGAGACGUUAGGCCUUUGUGUGAUAAGACAAAAUAAUAUAACAGACGAUUUUAGGUACCAAAGAUAAAUAACAUGGAAGAAACAGAUUGUUUAUAUAAAGAUAAAACCUGCAAUCAUAUUAUGCAUAUAGACUCUAAACAAGAAAAUAAUAUUUCGGCCCUUAGUAAAGGAUUUAAUAGUUUAAUGGAUAUAACCUCUAUAUAUUAUAAUAAAAUAUAUAAUAAAGUUAGCAAUAUAGAAGAAAAAGUAAAUCAUAUAGGAGAUAUCAAAGAAUUAGAUUUGAACAAUAAAUCUAAAUAAAAUUUAUCAGAAGUUAAUAAUAAAUUAGAACAGAUUAUUAAUAAUAAUAAUAUAGAAUCAUAAAUGGAUUUAGGUCCUUUGUAUUAUGGGAAUAGUAAUAUAAUUUUAACUUUAUUUGAUGAAGAAGAAACUUCUUCAGAAGAGUCAUCUUCUACUAUUAAUAGAAAUAAAAAAUUUGAAAAAUAGAGAAGAAAAAAUAUUACUCAACAAAAUUAUGAUUUUCAAUCUUAUAAAGAAUUAAUAGAACAUUGGAAAGUUAGAUUUACUAAAAGUACAGAUAAAAAUGAAAGAAUAGAAUACAAAUCAAGAUAGUAUAGCCAGUUAUACUUUGUCAAAAAUUAAAUUAUGUGAUAUAAGAUAUUUAGAAGAAUUUUCUAAAAAAAUUCUUCAUGAAUAUCAAAAAAUAAAAAGUGAAAAUAUAGAAUUUUGGAAAAACCAAUACUUUCAUAAAUUACCCCCACCAUGGGAUGAGAUAUGUAUAAAAAAAUAUGUGUCUUAUUUAGAUAAACAUAGCAAAGAAUCAGGCAUAGCAAAAGAAAAUAUAGAUUCUAUAGGAAAUAGAAUUAAUUUUACUAAAGAAAGUGAUAGAUUAAUUUUAGAAACAGAUGCAUCACAAAAUUAUUGGGGAUGUUUUCCUGAAAUGCAUGGAGACAUAUUAUUAGGAAAUAAUUUUAUAUAUCAUCAUUUACCAUUUUCUAUAGAUAAAAAUUUAGUAAUAUUAUCAACAGAAAAAACUUCUGUAGAAAUACUUUUAGUAGAAAAUCAUAAAUUUGUAUGUGAUAAAGGUUUUAGACCAAUAAGAAAAGAACAAAUUAAACAACUAGAAACAAAUCAUUGGUUGUUUAAAAUUCUAGAAAAUAAUUUUAGUGAAGAACCAUUAAAAUUAUGGGAAAAUAGUCCAAGAUAUUGUGAAAUAAAAUUAAAAAAUCCUAAUAAAAUUAUUAGAAUUAAACCUAUGAUCUAUAUUAAACAAGAUAUAGAUGAAUUUGAUAUACAAAUCAAAGAAUUAUUAGAAAAAGGAUUAAUAGAAAAAACUAAUAGUCCACACUCAAGUCCAGCCUUUAUGGUAAGAAACCAUGCUGAGAUAAAAAGAGGAAAAGCUAGAAUGGUAAUCAAUUAUAAAAGAUUAAACCAAAAUACUAUUUUUGAUGGAUACUUUAUUCCAUGAAAAGAUGUUUUGAUUAAUCAAGCUAAACAAGCAAAAUACUUUAGUAAGUUUGAUUGUAAAUCAGGAUUUUGGCAAAUAAUGCUAACUGAUGAAUCUAAACCAUUAACAGCCUUUAGUGCACCUAAUGCUCAUUAUCAAUGGAGAGUAAUGCCAUUUGGGUUAUGUAAUGCACCUCAAAUCUUCCAAAGAUAGAUGGAUUCUAUAUUUAAUAAAUACAAAAAAUUUUGUGUAGUUUAUAUAGAUGAUAUUUUAAUAUUUUCAGAAACUCUAGAAAAAACAUAGAAAACAUUUAAAUAUUAUCUCUCAAGAAUUCAUAAAACAUGGAAUUAUUUUGAGUCCUAAGAAAAUAGAAUUAGAAAAAACAGAAAUAGAAUUUUUAGGAUUAAAUUUAUCUACUGAUGGUCUUAAACUACAAGAUCAUAUUAUAGUAAAAAUAAAAUAAUUUCCUGAAGAAAUUAAAGAUAAAAAACAACUUCAACAAUUUUUAGGAAUAGUUAAUUAUGGAAGAAACUUCUUCCCUAGCUUAUCUCAAAAAAUAGGUGACUUAUAUGAAAAAUUAAAAAAGGAUAAAACUUUUAAUUGGUCUAAAAAAGACUCGGAAAUUAUUAAAAAUGUAAAAUCAGAAAUAAAUUAUACCCCAAAGGUCUAUUUAUCAAAACAAGGUGAUAGAUUAAUUUUAGAAACAGAUGCAUCACAAAAUUAUUGGGGAUGUAUUUUAAAGGCUAAAACUGCAAAAAAUGAAGAACUAAUAUGUGGAUAUAGAUCUGGAAUGAUGAUAUAUGAAAUUAUUUCCUAAUAAUAUGUCUCCAUGCAUUUCAGGAAAACACAAUAUUUUAGGAAUUACAAAUCUUACAUUAUUUAUGUAAAUCGGUAUAUUUCUAGCCUUAAAUUGGAUUAUGGUUUCUUUACCAUCUAUUCCUAUGGCUCUAAUUGGAUUUUUUAUUAAUUCCCAUUUUUCUACAGGAAUGGCAUUUUCUCUACAGCUACUUGUGGUAGCUCCUGUAUCUAAUAGAGCAUGCAAAGAAUAUGUUUUAUAUUCUCUAAAUUGAAAUGUAAUUUCAAUAUAUGUAUAAUAUUUCCUAGGUUGGAAAUUUGAAAAUGUAAUAAUAUCAUUUUUUUCCCAUUUUCAUUUGUUGAAUAAUAGUAGUAGCUUGUAUUUCGUCCAUUCUAGUAUUUCUAGAAUUUCUAUUGGGUUCAGUGGGGAAAAUAGGUAUUUGAACUGUUUUCAUACCUAUUGGUGUUGUUGAAUUUGUACUAAUAUUAUCUUCUUCUUCUUCUAUUGGAGAAUUAGAAGGUAAAACUAAAUUAUCAUUUGUAUUUGUUAUAGCAUUAUUUUUAAAAUAUAGUCUAUCUCGAGAUGAC
rnacentral:lncRNA from 1 species